GGGGGUGACCAGGGCUCGACGGCGACUGGAAAUCCAACGUGCAUGCCGAGGUGCGGUGGUCCUCGUAAAACCCUUCCGCAACAAGCUAGUUGCGAACGACGCGAACUACGCCCUCGCCGCCUAAUCCCGGCGAGCGGUCGCCCGGCCGGUGUUGAUGCCGCCGACGCGACCGUCGACUCUCAUCAACUCGCGGUGAAACCGGCCACCGGUCGAUCCGUUAAACCUUAAAGAGUGGCUAAGCGGACGUGUUCCGUGCCCCUUCGGCAGCGUCCGACGAAAAACAAAGAGCGGGCUAAGCAUGUAGAUCGAAGGACGGAAGGUUGUCGGACGGCGGUUCGAUUCCGCCCACCUCCACCA
rnacentral:tmRNA from 1 species